rnacentral:rRNA from 1 species
CCUGAGUAGUGUCAACCACGUGAAAUUUGGCAUGAAUCUGCCCAGACCAUUGCGUAAGGCUAAAUACUUUUUUACACCGACAGCGAAAAGUACCGUGAGGGAAAGGUGCAAAGAACCCCAGGAAGGGGAGUGAAAUAGAUUCUGAAAUUCAUUGCUUACAAUUGAGUGGGAGUCCUUCGGGAUGACCACGUACCUAUUGACGAAUGGGUCAGCGAGUCAUUGUUGCCAGCAAGGUUAAGCCAGGUAUAGGUGGAGCCGUAGGGAAACCGAGUCUGAAUAGGGCGAUUUAGUUGGUAGUAAUGGACCCGAAACGUUAUGAGCUAGGCAUGGGCAGGUUGAAGGUGUGCGAAAGUGCACUGGAGGACCGAACGGGUUGGAGCUGCAAAUCCUUCCGAUGACCUGUGUCUAGGAGUGAAAAGCUCAUCGAAUAACGUAAUAGCUGGUUCUCUCCGAAAUGCAUUAGGGUGCAGCCCUCAAUCGAGAUCUCACAGAGGUAGAGCUCUGAUAAGACUAGGGGUGUCGAGAGGCAUUACCAAAUCUUGUUAAACUUCGAAUGCUGUGAGGAAUAUUGAGGAGUGAGACUGCGGGGGCAAGCUUCGUGGUCAAAAGGAUAACAGUCCAGACUUCUAAUUAAGGUCCCAAAAGUAUAGCUAAGUGGUAAAGGAGGUGUUCUUGCUUUGACAUCCAGGAGGUUUGCUUAGAAGCAGCAAUCCUUUAAAGAUAGCGUAACAGCUCACUGGACAAGCGAGGAUGCGCCGAAGAUGUAACGGGGCUAAGCUAUAUACCGAAAUUCAUGGCCUACACAUUAGUGUAGUGCGGUAGGAGAGUGUUCUAUCGGGAUGAAGCAUAACUGUGAGGUUAUGUGGACUAGAUAGAAGUAAAAAUGCUGACAUGAGUAACGACGCAAGGCGAAAAUCCUUGCUGCCGAAAACCUAAGAAUUCCAGCGCAACGUUCAUCGUCGCUGGGUUAGUCGAGACCUAAGGUGAUACCAGAAGUGGUACAUCGAUGGAUAACUGGUUAAUAUUCCAGUACUUGUAUAUUCAGUGAUGUGGUAACGCAUCGGGAUUUGUAAGAGCUCAUUAAGGAUUUGAGUCGAAAAAGUAAGGUUUUGAUUGUAGGAAAAUCCGCAGUCAUUAUACUGAGCUUGAUCGGAAUUGCUUCCUUCGGGUUGUAAAAUUCUUAUAGUUCUGGUGUCGAGAAAAACCUCUAAACUUAUGUUUAUACAACUCGUAUUCAGAUCAGACACUUGUAGGUUGGUAGAGAAUACCAAGGCAAUCGAGAUAACUAGUGGAUAAGGAACUUGGCAAAAUAGCGGACGUACUUUCGAAAUAAGUCCUACCCUGCAGCAAUGUAGGGUUGCAACAAAUGACAUGGGGGGAACUGUUUAUCACAAACACAGCUCGCUGCUAACACGUAAGUGGAGAUAUAGCGAGUGAUGCCUGUCCAAUGCCAGAAUGUUAUGCUCUCUUGUGCAAGCUCGAGGGUUAAGCACUGGUGAAUGACGGCCGUAACUAUGACGGUCCUAAGGUAGCGAAAUUCCUUGUCAGGUAAGUUCUGACGCGCAUGAAUGGCA